rnacentral:rRNA from 1 species
UCAUAAACAACCAGGAUGUUGGCUCAGAAGCAGCCACCAUUUAAAGAGUGCGUAAUAGCUCACUGGUCGAGAGACCCUGCGCCGAAGAUUCCCGGGGCUAAAGUACGAAACCGAAGCUGUGGCUGUAUACGUAAAGUAUACGGGGUAGGGGAGCGUUCCCAUAGGGUAGAAGUCGAACUGGAAGGUUCGGUGGACUUGUGGGAAGUGAGAAUGUUGGUAUGAGUAGCGAAAAGAAAGGUGAGAAUCCUUUCCACCGAAAGCAUAAGGAUUCCUGAGCAACGAUCGUCGUCUCAGGGUAAGUCGGGACCUAAUCCGAGGCAGAGAGCGUAGGAGAUGGACAACUGGUUGAUAUUCCAGUACCGGUAGUAAUUGUUUGAGCAAUGGAGUGACACAGAAGGGCAGGCAAGCAUGCGAAUGGAAGAGCAUGUGUAAGCGUGUAGGGUGGUGCAUAGGCAAAUCCGUGCACUGAAAGCCUGAGGCGUGAUGCGGAGUGAGCAGAGAUGCGAGCGAAGUUGUUGACCCCACACUGUCGAGAAAAGCUUCUAGUGAGAGAGCUACCGCCCGUACCGUAAACCGACACAGGUAUGCGGGGAGAGAAUCCUAAGGUGCGCGGGAGAACCCUCGUUAAGGAACUCGGCAAAAUGUACCCGUAACUUCGGGAUAAGGGUAGCCACUGUUGUGAAGUCCCAUGCGGAUGGAGCAUAGAGUGGUCGCAGAGAAGAGGCCCAAGCGACUGUUUACCAUAAACACAGGUGCCUGCUAAAGCGAAAGCUGACGUAUAGGUGCUGACACCUGCCCAGUGCCGGAAGGUUAAGGAAGGAUGUUCGGAGUAAUCCAAAGCAUUCGACUGAAGCCCCGGUGAACGGCGGCCGUAACUAUAACGGUCCUAAGGUAGCGAAAUUCCUUGUCGGGUAAGUUCCGACCCGCACGAAAGGUGUAACGACUUGGGCACUGUCUCAACGAGGGACCCGGUGAAAUUGAAGUACCUGUGAAGAUGCAGGUUACCCGCGACUGGACAGAAAGACCCCAUGGAGCUUUACUGUAACCUGACAUUGGGUUUUGAUACAUUACGUACAGGAUAGGUGGGAGGCAUGGAAAGCUGGACGCUAGUCUGGCUGGAGCCGACGUUGGGAUACCACCCUUGAUGUAUUGAAAUUCUAACCGCGAGAGUAACGAAAUCCGGGACAGUGUCAGGCGGGCAGUUUGACUGGGGCGGUCGCCUCCGAAAGAGUAACGGAGGCGCCCAAAGGUUCCCUCAGCGCGGCCGGAAAUCGCGCGAAGAGUGUAAAGGCAGAAGGGAGCUUGACUGCGAGUCAAACACGACGAGCAGGUACGAAAGUAGGGCUUAGUGAUCCGGUGGUACCGAGUGGAAGGGCCAUCGCUCAACGGAUAAAAGCUACCCUGGGGAUAACAGGCUAAUCUCUCCCAAGAGUCCAUAUCGACGGGGAGGUUUGGCACCUCGAUGUCGGCUCAUCACAUCCUGGGGCUGAAGUCGGUCCCAAGGGUUGGGCUGUUCGCCCAUUAAAGUGGUACGUGAGCUGGGUUCAGAACGUCGUGAGACAGUUCGGUCCCUAUCCAUCGCGGGCGCAAGAGAUUUGAAGGGGGCUGCUCCUAGUACGAGAGGACCGGAGUGGACGAACCGCUGGUGUACCAAUUAUCCCGCCAGGGGUACAGUUGGGUAGCUACGUUCGGAAAGGAUAAACGCUGAAAGCAUCUAAGCGUGAAACCAGCCUUAAGAUGAGAUCUCUCAUAGAGCAAUCUAGUAAGACACCUUAAAGAAGAUGAGGUUGAUAGGUCGGGAGUGUAAGUACAGCAAUGUAUUGAGCGGACCGAUACUAAUAUGUCGAGGGCUUGACUUA